AUAUGCCAGUUGGGGGCAUAUGAAGUGCACGUGACAAUCUAUGGCCCCUGCAGUUAUAAUCAUUCCUUCGCCCGCAAUAACCUCAGUGUUAACCUAAUUGUGAAUAUAACCUCAGUGUUAGCCUAAUAAAUAAAAGAAGAUGAAGAAGAUGACACACGUGUGAAUAUGAGCCAUCGACAUGCCAUUACAAUUUUGAAAGCACUGUGAAAUGGAACUUACCCCAAUGAUCAUAUCAUCAUUAACAUCAUUCAUGGUAUCUGGAUUUCCUGCUUUUCCAAUGGCAGCAAUAAUUCCACCUCUAAUACCAAUAUCUGCCUUGUAGAUUCCGCUAUAGUCAAUGAUCACAGCAUUUGUGAUAACAGUGUCUAGAUAGUCAACUGGUUGAUCCCCACAUGACUGACCCAUUCCAUCCCUUAU
rnacentral:sRNA from 1 species